rnacentral:lncRNA from 1 species
UCAGUAUUCUGGAGCUGUGUCGCGUCAGCGAUCUUGAGUUCGUGUCUCACCGUGGUCAGCAGCGUCUACAUCUACGCCGUCGAUCAGAAGCGACCACGACUCAUGAUUCCUUUUCUGACGUGGAUGAUUUUGGCUGUAAUCGUGGUGCUGAUUUUGUUGGUGCUGAGCCUCACCUUGCUCCCCAUGCCGCUCACUGCAAUCCUGGGCACAAUCCUGGUCAUCGCUGCCACCAUCAAAGCUCUUCUCUGCUGGCUGGUCCACGCCCACAUGAAAGAGACAAUGAAAGCCACUUCCGGGGACUGGAAAAUGCCGCUAGUGGCAGAUGUCUGAAUCAUCCGAGACAAUUUUUUUCUGGAAGGAACUGCUGAAGAAGAAGUUUUCCGCAGAUUCAUCAAUUAUUGCGCCAUUCAUAGUUGACCGCCAUUCACAGUCAUUCACAACGCCCAGAGACAGAUGAUCUUGAGAACGCCCUUCUUUGCCAUAUCAGACAGUGAUCCUUUUCGGUUUAACGAUAUAUUAAAGUCAAUAUUCAACUGAAACAAGAAUUUUCGGCGAUCGAUUUGGUGAUAGACAAUCUAAACCACUCUAUAUGUCGGUGUAUGUUAUCUAAAUCUUUUUUCAUUAUUAAUCUUCUCACAAUUUUGACUGUAGGGCUAAGCUAAGGGCACGUAAGGCUGUUUGUCCGGUUAAAUCAGUGCUGCUCAGACUUUUUGUGAUCGCGUACAAGGUCUCGAAAAGUAGCCUGGCAGCAUAAGAUACCAACGCGUACUACCAACCAUAAAACAAUAUAUUACGUUAGCAUUUAUAUGUAUAAUCGUUUUUAAUUUACGUACUAGUACAUAAUUACUAUGCUAAUAAUUUGUGCCGUAGAAGUGCGGUUUGAAUUUAAUGGUGAGCCACUGAUACAAAGUCUGCGUGAAUAACAACAGCCGUGGAUCUUUAACAGAUUAUUUAGUCUUGUGCUGUGGCAUUUUUGGUAAAUGAAAAACUGGUAGCAUAAAAUCAAUCAUGCAAGCGAAAGCACACCACAUGAUAUGCCCUGCGUUCUUAUGGUAGGCUUGCCACAGUUUGCGAACCACAGUGUGAAAUAUAGUGACAUUUUCCUCAUUUUUGAACUCUAUUUCUCUAUUCCUCAUUUCUGGUCCUCGGUUUCUAAAAAAAUCUUUGGGUUUUUACCUGCCAGUGAUAGGUUUGUUCAGAUAAUAAUAAUUUCGUUCAGAUGAGGCAUAACCGUGAAUAGUACCUGCAGUAACCUGCUGUAGGUACCUUCAUUUAUAUAACUAAACUUAGGUAAUGAAGUAACUAAUAUAAGGAAGUAAUUCAACAGUAUUCCGUACAAAUUUAAUCAAUUAGAUCAUUUGUUGAUUAAUAAAUGUAUAUUGUAUACUCACGGGACAUCUAGCGAUUUAUGAAGUGCGAGUAGAUUCAUGGUAAUGAUUCUACCGACAAAGUUCGACCGCGUGAUUUUAGUGUCAUGUGGAUGUUUAUUAAUAGAGGUAUUUGUUAUAAGAAAUAAAUUGCUAAAUUGAAUGACUUGAAUAUAGAAUCAAUGUAUGAACAGCUAUAUGUAGAAGAUCUUACGUAGAAUUUGGUUUUAAUUAUCUACACGUUCAUUUAAUUAAUAUAUAUGUGCUCAUGAAUACAUCUGAUCCGGUGCUAGCUCUAUCAAGAAAAAACUAGACAAGGUCGAGCAAAUAACCUAUUAACGACUAAUUUCUUCGUGAGUGCAAAAUACUACAUUGCCUCCAAACCACAUCGAAGAAAUUUAUGGGUUAAAAAAUUUGACAAGCGUUAUAUAUGUUCACCUGGUCAUAGCGCAGCUUGAAAUUGAAGGCGAUAUAGUUGACCAGUUGUCCAAUCGCACAAAAGAACGAUUGGACAACGCAACUGGUACAUCACAAUCUGUGUUUAGUGUAACAACUGGUACAGAUACAUUGACAAAAAACGCUAUUUUGAAAGGCGACAUAUAUAUGUACAGCUGGAUGCUAUACGGAUAAAACUGAGCAGUGAUGGAACUAAGAUACCAACUCACCGCGCCUGAGAUCAAAAGCGAGUUAAGGUGGAAGAAAGUAGGGCCGAGAGGGAAAUGGAAAAUGGGGUGGGUUGGCUGCAUGCCUGAUGACUAGUCAGCAUUGAUGUACUUUAUCCAUUACUGGAUCCUGUUACAAUUUUUUCG